rnacentral:rRNA from 1 species
UACGUAGGGGUGCAAGCGUUUGUCCCGGAAUUAUUGGGCGUAAAGAGCUCGUAGGCGGUUUGUUGCGUCGGCUGUGAAAUCCCGAGGCUCAACCUCGGGUCUGCAGUCGAUACGAGCAAACUAGAGUGUUGCAGGGGAGACUGGAAUUCCGUGGUGUAGCGGUGAAAUGCGCAGAUAUCAGGAGGAACACCGGUGGCGAAGGCGGGUCUCUGGGCAACAACUGACGCUGAGGAGCGAAAGCGUGGGGAGCGAACAGG